rnacentral:rRNA from 1 species
CCUACGGGGGGCAGCAGUGGGGAAUAUUGCGCAAUGGGCGAAAGCCUGACGCAGCGACGCCGCGUGAGGGAUGAAGGUCUUCGGAUCGUAAACCUCUGUCAGCAGGGAAGAACGGUCACUGUGCUAAUCAGCAGUGAAUUGACGGUACCUGCAAAGGAAGCACCGGCUAACUCCGUGCCAGCAGCCGCGGUAAUACGGAGGGUACGAGCGUUAAUCGGAAUUACUGGGCUUAAAGCACUCGUAGGGGAUAUGUCAAGUCAAGGGUGAAAUCCCCGCGCUCAACGUGGGAACGGCAUUUGAAACUGGCAAACUGGAGUGGGUGAGAGGAUAGGGGAAUUCCAGGUUUAGGAGUGAAUGCCGUAGAAAUCUGGAGGAACAUCAGUGGCGAAGGCGACUAUCUGGCACAUAACUGACGCUGAGGAGCGAAAGCUUGGGUAGCAAACAGGAUUAGAUACCCCUGUAGUC